UUGUAAGCAAGUAUUUUUUAAGUGAGGUGAAACAUGGGGUAUGCAAGAUAAAUCAGAUUCCUGAAAGGGGUACAGUAGUCUGGAAAGGCUGAGAGCCAUUGGUGUAGACAUAUCCUAAGUUAUGAUCAAGUUCCGGUGACUUAUGCAACACAUUAUUUCUAAACUAUGUGGCAAAGACUCCAGCAUUAUGUGGCAUCUCACUCCCAAAAGCCGUUUCUCCCCUCUCCUAGUCCAGUCAGUCUUGUGUUAUUUACUUUGGUAUUAGAUUUAAUUUAUUUUAGGCAGCCCCCAAAAUUUGUACUUUCAAAGUACUACAAGUUUUGUUCUGACAAUGAAGAGCAGCAAUGAAGGACUUGUCAGGAGAAGAUCGAGGUUUCAUUUUUAGGUAGGGAAUACAAGGGGGAUUUAGCUCACAGGAAGCUGUGAGGUUGUUUUGGGAGCCAGCUGAGGGGUUUGGCAUUGAGGAGAAGAUUCUUUCCCUCCUGCUUCUGGCUGUGAAUAGGAGGGGAGGGCUCACUGAGGUGAGAGGGAAGGCGCUUGAAUUCCUCAUCUCUCAUUCCAGCAACGCUUGACAGCAUCGAGCCACCCCAGUCCACUCCCACCUCAAUGUCUGCGACUACAUCCAAAAGUGACAGAUCAGGUGAUAUCUGUCACCUCAGUAUUAACAGGCCACUGACAGGAAAGUUAACAUUUUCUCUGAGCCAAUGUUUCACGCUAUUGUUUGCAGACUAAGACAAAGAUUACUGCAUCAGUUUAUACCAGGUUCACAUUCUUUUGGUUGUCUUCUCCACCCCAGGGCUAGGGACUUAACUUUUAAGUGAAAUCUCAUCCUGCAACACAAUUAUGCAGCUGCAUAACUGUAUUACACAUGGGGCCCGGAUUGUGACACUGCCUUCUAAUGAUGGAAUGUGAUGAGGAAAAAUUGUAAUUCAGCAUCAUGAUGUGGUUAUUUUGGGUCUUUCUGUAACUGCCUUUGAUAAGACAGUAACUGUCCACCUCUUCAAAGGUAGUAUCAUGGUUUUAAAUCAUUAUAAAUGUAUUAGCAUAAAAAUUUUAUGAUCAGUUAAUGGAAAAAUGGAGCAAAGUGGGGUAACAGAUAUAUUAUGGUAUUGCAAUAAACUUCAUAAUUACAAUUUUAGCACCCGGUGUCUAUGUUAUAUUUAUUAUACAUAUUAAAAUCUCAAGGGCUGUUAAGCAAUAUGUAAAAGUACCUAGCAGAGGUAUGGAUUGGUGUCUGUGUUGUUAAUAGCACUGUCUACAUUAUAAAGCAGAAGAUUAUAUUAAUCGUGAUAAUAAAAAUGGGACAGUACACAACAGAGAGGAAAACACAUUAAGUGAGGCUAGCAAGAGUAUUUUUUGUUGAGUUGCAGAGAGCUAGAACAUUCAUCUUUCUAAUGAGACCUGUUCUUCCAAAGAGAAGAAAAAAAAAAUCAAGAAGUUCAAUGUCCUUGUGUAGACAAGCCCUUAGAGAUAAUCUAGGCCAAAAACACAGGAACAGGGAAUUAUCAGGACAGACCUUUAGAGUUUUGAAGUUUAUUAGAAAUGUUGGCUAGCUCUUGCUUCUGCUCUGUUCUGGAUUUCUGCUCCAAGUAGAUUUGCUUAGCAUCCAGAGAAAAAGGUAUUGGUCUAAUAACAACAACAAUGAUAAUUAUAAUAAAAUCUGAAGAUAAAAGGAACUCCAAUCAAAAGGAAAUAUGUCAGAAAAGCCUAAACUCUCAGCUGAUCAUGCUCAGAAUAACCACAGUGUACUUCACUGAAAUUCAGUAAGAUUGGGGAUUAGAAAAGGAAGGCACAGUUUAUGAAAACUGUUCUUUUAUUGCAAUACUUUGGUGGAGGACAAACUACACAGACUGGGUUUGCCAUUCAGAUCUUCUCAAUAUCCCCUUAUUUUUGCACUUUAUCACUGCCAGAUAUUUGCCCUUUUUAUUGCCAUUACUGAGAGAGUGUCCUGCAUUUAACAUUAGAUAUUACUGCGGAUGUAACUGCAAUUUGUGGAUAAAGAGGACUUUGAUAUUAAUUGGGUUCCCUAAAGGCCCACGGUCACAGCCAGUACUGAAAGAAAAGGCAUCAGGAGAAAGGGUUCUAUUGAAAACACACCCUGGAGCCCAGGGGGGCACUAUGCAACAUGCUAAAAAACAAAACAAAUCCAUAACUAACAUUCAUCCUCAUAAAACGAAGGAAUUGAGAAUGCAGUUGUCUGGUACAAAUUUAGAAAAACAGGAAUGGGAGGGAAUGCUAAUAAAUACAGUGCUAAUAGAAGCCAUUCUAAAAUCCUAUUUUGUGGUGGGAAGUUUUUGGGGGCUUUUUAAGAAGUGGGAAGAAAAGCAUCUCAGGAGACUGCACAAUCCACUCCCUGAUGAUAAUACUGAGCAUUUAUCACAGUUUUAAUUCACAGAUCUCUAAAUGCUUUACAAUGGGGGAUAAGCAUGAUCAUCUCCAUUUUACAGACAGAGAAGUGCUUGUGCUAAGGCCAAACAUCAGUUCAGUGACAGCAUUAUUAGGAACAGAAGCCAGGGCUCCUGACUUCCAGACUGCUGCUCUGUUAAAUGGACUAUCCUGCCUCCUAAGGUCACCCAACAAAGAUGUGAUUGGCUGCCUGUUUAAGAUACAAGAGUUACAGGAAUUGCCAUACUGGAUCAGAUCCAAGGUCCAUCUAGUUCAGGAUCAUGUCUCCGACAGUGGCCAGGACCAGAUGCUUGAGAAGAACGCAAGAAUAGCCACACUGGGUCCAUGAAGCCAAGUAUCCUGUCUUCUGAUGGUGGCCAGUGCCAGAUGUUUCAGAGGGAAUGAACUGAAUCAGGCAAUUAUUGAGUGAUCCAUCCCCUGUUGUCCAGUCACAACUUCGAGCUGUCAGAGGUUCAGGGACACCCAGAGCAUGGGAUUGGGAGAAACCCCGCAAUAGGCAGAGUUGAUAGGGUUUGUGAUCAUGAGACAAAGGGAUAGCAUUUCCAUCCUUAUCACACAGGACUCCCCGUGAAUCACCAACAUUGGCCACUAAAGAACAGCUGUCAAAACUGGGAGCUUAUGUACAUCUGGCCAUGCCAACCCUCAGCAUUAGAUGUAAAUAGGUUGUACAUCCUCUGCAGGCCAGCUAUCAGGGUAUAAAGUAUGAUUUAAGAUACUAGCAAGGGCGCACUUGAGGAUAUGUUGCACUGUAUAUUCUAUGACAAGACAAGAGCAAAGUGGCUAAGGUCACUGUUAGUAAAUAAGAGAUUUGAAGAAUAUAGUAUGUUGGUUGUUGUACCAAAUAAAUAAGGAUACGCAGGUAUUGUGGCUCAUUUGUCCAUUUAGUAGAAAUGAAAAUGAAAAAAAAGCCAAGUUUAAUCAAGCAACUAUUUCAUGUUUUCCAUUUUUCCAGUUUGGAAUCUGAUUAACUUGAUUUUAUGUAUAAAGUUUUAUAUACACAUUGUAUCUUGUAUUAGUUUGGGGAAGGCAAAAGCCAAAUAUAAAGUCAAACAAAUAAUUGUGUGACCUGGAGGCCCAGACGAGUUAUCUAUAUGAAGUUUUGUAACAAAAGGUAACUUCAAAAUUGUCAUUACAUUAAUGCUCAUUGCUUAUGGAUUACACUUGCACCUAGAUAAGAUGGUAUAAAUGCUCCAAAACACUUCAGAAUCACAGAAAUAAAACAAGAAUUUGAGUUUAUAAAAAGAGAGCCUGCAAAAUAAAUAAAAAUGAACAACAGUUUGCAGUCAUGAACCCCACAACCUAGCUGUCAGCUAGGUAAAUAUUAUACUCCAUUUUUGCACUGUUGCACUUUCAGUUUGGUUUGCACAAUUUAUUUAAAGGUUUGAUUUUUGUUGCUUAGUCAGAUGGUUUUGGUAAAUGUAUUUUCAAACAAAAAGCAGUUGUUAGUUAUCCAUCAGUUCAAUUCAAACCUUAUUUCUGGCUUUGUUACUGUUUCAUAAUAAAAACCAUUUAUAAUCCAUUUUAGUCCAUUAUGAUUCAUCACUGCAUGUAACAUAAAAUCCUUUAAAUAAAGCUAAAAUAAUUCAUACAGUUUUACAAAAAUAUAUAAUGUCCCACUUCCACCAUUCAUAAGCUAUACUGUACUGCUCACAGUCUACCUCCAUCCUCCCCUCCACAGUUUAGCAUGUU